rnacentral:rRNA from 1 species
UGAGUAACGCGUGGGGAAUCUGCCUUUGAGCGGGGGACAACAUUUGGAAACGAAUGCUAAUACCGCAUAAAAACUUUAAACACAAGUUUUAAGUUUGAAAGAUGCAAUUGCAUCACUCAAAGAUGAUCCCGCGUUGUAUUAGCUAGUUGGUGAGGUAAAGGCUCACCAAGGCGAUGAUACAUAGCCGACCUGAGAGGGUGAUCGGCCACACUGGGACUGAGACACGGCCCAGACUCCUACGGGAGGCAGCAUG